rnacentral:lncRNA from 1 species
UUUGAGAAGAUGUGUUCUUUUGUAAGGGCAAAAAUAUGGAUUUUAUUGGCUAACUAUGAUUGUCUGUAAAAAUGUAGAUAGUUAGCUAUGUUGCCUCAUAUAUAACUUGUAUAUUGUAAGGGAUAUAUUUUCCGCAGUUAUCUACAAAGAAAAUUUUAGUUGUUUUUGAAUGACGUUGUUGCCCCGUAGGCAUCAGGACAUCACACCAUUUUACUAAGAAAAUCAAUCUCAAUCUUCAUAUUCCCCUUUCUAGAGUAAAUCAACUAGUCCCAUGUGCUCAAUCAAUAAAUC